AGGGAGACAACAAAAUGUUUAAUAUUAUUAUUUUGUCACCUUAGGUCGAUCGGUAUCUCACGUUCUUAAUUUAUUGAGAAUUUCAUUUCCUAAGUUUUUCUAGGUCACACCCAUUAUUUUUCCUGGGCCAUUAGCUCAGGUGGUUAGAGCGCACCCCUGAUAAGGGUGAGGUCCCUGGUUCAAGUCCAGGAUGGCCCAUAUCUCUAUGUUGGGGGUAUAGCUCAGUUGGUAGAGCGCCUGCUUUGCAAGCAGGAUGUCAGCGGUUCGAGUCCGCUUACCUCCACUGAUUACCACCUCUACCAUAAUUUGUUAAAGGAAAUUUUUUGAGUUGUGAUCAAAUUCUGAACGAAUCUAGCUUCCUAAUGUAAUCAUUAAGAUGCUGGACUCAUUGAAUAAAUUUCAUUGUUUUCAGAGAACCUUGACAACUGCAUAGAUUAUUUUUAAAGACAAUAAGCAUCUUUAAUGAUGCAGAUUUAUUAUUUGUGCGAAUGCAUUAAUAACAAUUCUAUUAAGCUGAUGCUUCAAUUUUGAAGUUAUU
rnacentral:tRNA from 1 species